rnacentral:lncRNA from 1 species
CAUGAUAUAUUUUUUACGAAGGGGCUGUUUUAGCAAACUGGGCAGACCUACUGCUCUGAUUUCUCAUGCAUUGUUUUACUCUCAUUAAAAUGUUUUUGGUUAUACGUCAUUAUCUUUUACUUAUCCACUAAUGGUCUACAGACACACAAAUAUCAGGCAGGUGAAGUCUUCCCCCAUCCCCCUCCCCCAAUCCCGCUGCACCACUGCAGGCCUGGGUAGUAGCAAACACACCGAUCUGCGCCCUGUCACUGGUUUAGGAAGCUGAGCCCCAGCCGCUGAGCCGUUUUCUACCGGCUGAAGCACGCAUGCUUCCUUUGCUUCCUUUGCUUCUGCAAGGGAACAAUGAGCAAGUGCAUGUGUGGGAACCCUCCUGCCUGCUGGGCGCUCAGCUAGGAGUCCCAGAAUACCAGACACCAUUAUAUUCAAAUAUCCCUGCUCUCAGACCCCUGUAGACCUACUGGUUCUGGAAAAAAGCUUUCUUCUUCGGUCCCCUGAGUAGGCUAGUGACAACUGAAAACAUGCAGACCACAAAAGAUGUGAGAAUUCAAACUGAGCCAUAGCUCCAUCUCCUGGAAGUGUAUAUCAGCAGCAACAAGAGUAAAGACCCAGAGGCAUGAGAAACACUUCCUCACUGAAGCACUCACGUUCCGACUGUGUGCAAAAGACCUUUUGUGUCUCACUCACUGAGGGAGAUUGUUCUUCACUCAAUCAAUGAGAAGAACAGACGUCUUAGAAAACCUUCAGUACCUGGGGGAAAUGAAUGAGCUCAAACACAAGGGAAAGUCAGCCCGUGUUCAAGAUAAGCCCAUCUCAGGAAGGCAGGCACCAUGCUCCUGAGACUACUUUACCCCCAGAUAAGAAAGCCCUUAUUGAUAAGCCAAAAUCACAGAUUAUUUUAUUAAGCUCAUAUUUUAAAAGAAUGCAAAGCUUCCUUUAAUGUUACUUUCCAUUAUAAAUGUAAAAUUACAGUUUGCACAUAAUAUCUGGAUUCUGGUUAACUAUUUUCCAUACUGUAUUUUGCAAUUGCAUAUCUGCAUUUCUAUUUUUAUAUUAAAAAAUAAAUAGGGUUAUGCAAAUAAUAUUUCUAAUUGUGCAUAUUUAUGUAUUUAUAUUAAGUUUUAGUAUGUCUGCUUGCUCACAUAAUUUAUCUUCUCUUUAUGUAUAAUUUCAUUUACUUACAAUAACUAAUUAUUAGGGAAACAAAUAAAAUCUUUGAGAAAUUACCAGAGGUUAAUUCAUAAGUGCUUUAUCUUGCUUCACAGAUAAUCAUAUACUUUAUUUCUAAACUUUGAAAUGUUAUUGUCCAUAUUGUUUCUUCGUACUUACAAAAGUAAGAAAUUGGAUUGUAAUGUUUCCAAUUUAUGUUGUCAUGCUUUCCUCUCUUUAAUAUAACUUGAGUUUAUGUAAAGUUUGAGCGGUUCAAGUUAUUUCCAAAAAUAUAAUAGGAGCCCCACCCUUCUCAGUUCUUUCACACUAACACUUUUAUUGACACAUUUGGAAUGGGGAAGGAUGUAAGCCACACUAGUCAAUUUGGAUCAGCUGUUUAUUUACAAUUUACUCCAAAGAUUUAAGUAAGCAAAGUCAGUGAGCAAUUGAAAUUGUUUUCCUACUCUCUUUUAUUCUUUUUUUUUUUAAAAAAAAAAAAAAACAACAGCCAUUUGAAUGAAUUUUUUUACUCUCCUGAUGUUUCUCUCUGUUUCCACACUGAGCGCCUGAUAGAAGCUGGACACCUGCUUGCCUUCAGGCUAUUCCAUGUUCUUUAAAACUGUGCUGAAUAGAGAUUGAGUUCAGCUUCCUAUAUCUAUAAUCAGUGUCUGAUUUGGAAACAGAAAAAAAGCUUUAUAUAACUAUUAAUAGUGGGUGAACUGGAGCCAGCACUUUGAUAUUAAUAAAAUAAACACAAUACAUAAUAAAGCACAAAAUCCAAUUUAUUCAAUGUAAUUGAGAAUAUGGCCCCCUGGCAAGAUGAAUAUUGUGAGAAAACUAAAAAUCAGUAUAUACUACUUGAUUUUCAAGGAAUUAAAUAUGUGUAGACUACACUUAACAUUCAAAUUAGCUUGACUCUGAUGUAAUAUCACGUUGAUGCUUCAGAAAGAAUAUUUAGGGCCUCAGGAUCAUUAUAAUGAACACCAGUGUCAUGGUAGAACUACUAAAGGACUAGAAGAUAGACGCUAUUACACUAAUUUUGUCCUGAAAUCAGGACAUAUUCCUUUAAAAAUAUUUCUGGAUAUCUGUUUCUGUGCUUAUUAUGUGUCUCUUUUUCAUAAAAGUUAAGUGGAGAAGAUAUGUGUAUAAAUCCUAUUUCUUUGGGGCUACAUAGAGUUUGGAUAAAAUGGGGAUAGGCUUCAUAGCGAAAGUUUACACCUGAAGUCUCCCCAUCUCGUGUAUGGCUUUGCUUGAUUAACAUACUUUGCUCAAUGGCCAUAAAGGAGCACGCAUUUUAGGUUAGAGUUUUCUGUUGGCUUUUGAUGAUUGGCUUGCAGCCAAAGCACUUAUCCUGCUAUUCAGGAUAUAUUGUAGAAAACCAUAUAACUGCACCUAAGAGUCUUUAAUUGCUAAUUGUUCCUAAUAACUGUUUAGGAUAUAAUGCAAACAACAAUACAUGAUGUCAGUUUGAAUUUCAAGGUUGUUAUUCAAUCCCAAGUUUCUGCUGUGUUAUGAUCUCUUCCUGUGGUUAAUGAUGUCUGGAAAACCCUCUGUGGAAUAACAACCCUGGCUUGGGUAAGGGGCAAAGUCUGCGUUAAAAGAAUAACAAUAGAAAAUAGAGGUUUGAGUAAUAGCUACUGUGAGUUGGAAUGCAAUAACAAGCAUUGUACAAAAUGAAAUAAAUGGCCACUUUUGUGCUUCCAAUUAUAAUACACAUCUCUGUAACUAUUCAGAGAUUAACUGUGCUGCGGAUUAGCUAUAGAAUUUGGAAUUAUCUUCUACAUUGUCAUGUGCAUCCAAAGUGUCCUGUUAUGCUCCGGGAAUCAGGGAAUCACUUUCUCCAGGUCUUAUUCUUAAAGGACUGAGACAAGCUUUCAUUAUUUCUGAGGAUGCUCAUUGAUCUCCCUUCUACUCAUAGUGGCUCAACCCAGAACAUGGAAGCCUUCUUAUAAUAGGCAAUGGCAAAAAUGUGAUGGGGCCAAGCUCUGGCUAGCUAAUAACUCUUCAAGUACUUCUCCCUCUGUUCUGCCUGCAAUUUCAGUAAGAUUUCUAGCACUUGGAGUUUAAAUGUCCUCUAGCCCUUUAGAAGCUGGCAUCUAAUUGCUUCUUCACGUUGCCAAAUGACUGAGUGUUUUCUCUAUUGACAUGGUUCCUGCCAGACUUUGGAAUACACAGUAAGCAGGAUAAGAGAGACAAGAGAAGCAUAAAACUCGCUCAGAGGAGGAUUAGAGCACAGCUGGGAGUCAGAGAGUCAGUAGAAGGGGCAGGAAAACAAAAGCCAAGAAAGAAAAAUGAAAAACUGUAGAUUGCACAAAAGAAAAGGGAAGCAAGACCAGAGUGGAUUGCUGGUAGAGAGAUACAAGGCCUGCUGUGUCUGAGAAAUAUUUAAUGGAAGCAUCUCUAUAUGUGGGUGUGCUAUUGUGUAUGUUGAUACAUGCAAAACAAUGUCCCUUCCUUACCUACCUCCUUUAAUCACAAAAAAGCCCAAUGUAGUAUUUGGUUCAUCAUUCCCAUUCCACAUUAUUCCUUAUUAUCUAAUUUUGGUAGAUUGCAAAAUGGCUACAGUCCUUCACUUUUCCUUGUUUCCAUGCCUUUUGCUCUGGAAUUUAGAAGCUCCUGCCAUUAACAAACAGAUUCUACUUUCCUUCCCCUCGAAUCUGAGUGGCCUAUUGACUUUCUUUGGCCCAUACCCAUAGAAAGUGGAGGAAGUGAUAUUGUGCCUUUAUUUCAUGCUCCUACUGGCUUUCUUGGAGUUCUACCCAGCUGCCCUAUGAACAAGCCCAGCCAACCUGCUGGAGGAAGAGAGACCAUGUGGAACUGAGAAGAGUUCUCCUAGUAGACGUGAUCCUAGGCUAGUCAGCUCUCAACUGGCCUGACUGCCGACUGAAGAUGCUUGAAUCAAUUCAAAUGUAACCAGAACUGCCCACCUGAGCCCUGCCCAAAUUCCUGAAAAAG